ACCCCAACCGAUCAAAAAAACAUUUCAAAUAUUAUACUCGCUUUCUUCUCAUCCUACACUUACCCCCCUUCUCAAAAGAGAAACGGGAGAAAGAGCACCGCUUGCGUCUUUGUGACUGCUAAUCUCCAAGCUUCAUCAGAGUGUAAAUUGAUAGCUUCGAAAGAGAUUAGCAGCCACUGCAUAGAAUUUGUCACAUUGAAAGAUUUUUAAGCUGUAAUACUAUCUUCCGUUUAUGCUCUUUGGUUGUAGGUUACAACUGUUUCGUAAAGGAAAGAAGGAUACAUCAAUAGGAGAGUUGAACAAGUUUUAAGUUGAUAUCUGCAAAUCAACAUUGAUACCACCAAAGGUAUAAUGGAACUUUCAUGCAUGUGUACUGUAGACUGCUAGGGAAUUCUAAAACUCCCGAGAUGAUAAAUUAAGGAGAGUGACGUUGCAAGUAGAUGAAGCCGACAUCAGUUUUGCAUUGCAGAUCAAGAUCAAGAUGGUGACGAAAAAAGAGCAAUCGCAGUUGCAGCAACUCGAAAAUCAAGUUGAGAACAGUGGUGGUGGUGCUUGGGAGUAUCUCUCUCUUGUUCGCAAGCUCAAGCUUCGUCGUUCCGAUAAGGUCUUGAAGCAUGGUUUAACAAUUUUAAACGACCCCAAGAAACGCUCGGCUCUCGGCCCAGAAGUUGAGCUCCAGAAAAUGAAGGGUAAUUGUAGAGGACGACAGUGGUGAGAGGCAGGGCUGGAUGAAGUGGCAGCAGCGGUGAAGAUUUGAAUGGUUGUAUUCCGUGGGGGUACUGGUGAGAUAGAUGUUCACGGCCGUGGAUGAUUUUAUCUAACAUCUGACAUAAAUAGCCUCUCUCUAGCUACAAAAGACGACCCACGAACCAAAAAUUGCUAAACGGCUCUCACUGAAGUGAACAAGACAUGCAGGUUAGCCAGUAGCCUACUCUGAUUUGCACAUAAUAAACCAGCAGCAGCCCAUCCUCAAGUGCAACACGCUUGUAUUCAGGGCUACAACUAUAGCUAUAGCGAGGAAUUAAAGCUUGCAAGAGAUCUGUGCUCCCACUCUCAUGCUGAGAGGAUGGAAAGCCAGCCCAUUCAACAACUUUUUCAAGAAAGGAAAUGACGCUUUGUCCUAUGUCUGAUGAUGAAUUAAUUCGAUUUGGCCUUACUAUGUUUAUUAUAUAUCAUCUACUUUUAUUUAUAGAGUCCAUCUGUAUAGUUAGUUCAGUUUUACUCUGUAAAUUAAACAUUUACUCCAAAAACAUACACAAAUCAAAUUAGUAUUUGGUUA